rnacentral:rRNA from 1 species
UACAGAGGGGGCAAGCGUUGUUCGGAAUUACUGGGCGUAAAGGGCGCGUAGGCGGCCUGCUAAGUCGAACGUGAAAUCCCCGGGCUCAACCCGGGAACUGCGUCCGAUACUGGCUGGCUUGAAUCCGGGAGAGGGAUGCGGAAUUCCAGGUGUAGCGGUGAAAUGCGUAGAUAUCUGGAGGAACACCGGUGGCGAAGGCGGCAUCCUGGACCGGUAUUGACGCUGAGGCGCGAAAGCCAGGGGAGCAAACGGG